CCUACCUGCUAUCACCACCUUACCCCCCAACCCACCAACCCCAUCUGCUAUCAACCCCUUACCCCACCAACCCCAUCUGCUAUCACCACAGUAUGGCAUCGGGGCCUCUGAGACUUGUUCACUAGUGACCCCCCGCCCCCUGAAUACCAAGCCUCCAGACCCCUCUCCCUCCUGACCUGAUGGUCUCUGUCCGAGGGAGGGGUUAGAUCCUGAUCUAUACGGGUUACAAUGUCAGCUGAUGUUCAUUACGUCUCAACAUGUAAUGGAUGAGAUUAGGUCAUGGUUCAGAUUAUGAGGCCUGUCCAGGUGUAAACAAGAUGCUGGCUGGAAGGCAGCUGUUUUCCACCUGGAGAGACAGGGGAGCAUGGUGAGGUGACCUCUAGGUGUUGAGAGAGGGGAGCAUGGUGAGGUGACCUCUAGGUGUUGAGAGAGGGGAGCAUGGUGAGGUGACCUCUAGGUGUUGAGAGUGGGGAGCAUGGUGAGGUGACCUCUAGGUGUUGAGAGAGGGGAGCAUGGUGAGGUGACCUCUAGGUGUUGAGAGUGGGGAGCAUGGUGAGGUGACCUCUAGGUGUUGAGAGAGGGGAGCAUGGUGAGGUGACCUCUAGGUGUUGAGAGUGGGGAGCAUGGUGAGGUGACCUCUAGGUGUUGAGAGUGGGGAGCAUGGUGAGGUGACCUCUAGGUGUUGAGAGAGGGGAGCAUGGUGAGGUGACCUCUAGGUGUUGAGAGGGGGGAGCAUGGUGAGGUGACCUCUAGGUGUUGAGAGUGGGGAGCAUGGUGAGGUGACCUCUAGGUGUUGAGAGAGGGGAGCAUGGUGAGAUGACCUCUAGGUGUUGAGAGAGGGGAGCAUGAUGAGGUGACCUCUAGGUGUUGAGAGAGGGGAGCAUGGUGAGGUGACCUCUAGGUGUUGAGAGUGGGGAGCAUGGUGAGGUGACCUCUAGGUGUUGAGAGAGGGGAGCAUGGUGAGGUGACCUCUAGGUGUUCAGAGAGGGGAGCAUGGUGAGGUGACCUCUAGGUGUUGAGAGAGGGGAGCAUGGUGAGAUGACCUCUAGGUGUUGAGAGAGGGGAGCAUGGUGAGGUGACCUCUAGGUGUUCAGAGAGGGGAGCAUGGUGAGGUGACCUCUAGGUGUUGAGAGAGGGGAGCAUGGUGAGGUGACCUCUAGGUGUUGAGAGAGGGGAGCAUGGUGAGGUGACCUCUAGGUGUUGAGAGAGGGGAGCAUGGUGAGGUGACCUCUAGGUGUUGAGAGAGGGGAGCAUGAUGAGAUGACCUCUAGGUGUUGAGAGAGGAGCAUGGUGAGGUGAACUCUAGGUGUUGAGAGAGGGGAGCAUGAUGAGAUGACCUCUAGGUGUUGAGAGAGGAGCAUGGUGAGGUGACCUCUACGUGUUGAGUGAGGGGAGCAUGAUGAGCAUGGUGAGAUGACCUCUGUAGGUGUUGAGAGUUUCUUCAUUAGGAAUCAGCUGACUCUGGCCCUGGAUGGGUCCAAAAUGUCACACUGUUCCCCAAAUAGUGUACUGCUUUUGACCAGAGCCCUGCUCAAAAGUAGUGCACUAUUUAAGGAAACGGGUGCCAAUCAGGACGUCUCUCUCUUUGUCAUGGUCACUAUUCAUCCCCUGUUCUUUAGUGCUUUAGACACUGUGUGUUUACGUACACAGGGAGACUGGGCUGUUUGGUGAUAAAACAUCCUCAUAGAGACAACAAAUACACAGUCAGACGCAGGUUUAUUUAUCUCCAAACCCUCCCAGACCUAAAUACUGUAAUAACACACACAAGCUAAAACACGGCUCGCUCACAGACAUACACUUUAGUGUUAUUUUUAAACCCUGGACCUGUUAUAUAUACACACUCACACACACAACCUGUUCUGGUCAAUAACUCUCUCCAGGUCUCUCUUCCUCAUGCCUUGCACUAAUGAUUCUCAUGAAUAAAUCUUGUCAUAAUUACAGCCAGUGUGAUAUAAAUAUAUAUAUAUAUAUAUAAAUAAUAUACUGUAAAUAGGGUGUUGCAAUGUAGUCUACUUUUUCGAUUUACAAUUGAGAAGACUAAUGCUUGCUAGGGAGUUGUCUAGAUCAUCAAUAAAAAACUGUACAGUUAGCAGAAAACAGCUUCGGUGUGGGUUUGGAGUUGUUGUUUUUUUCACAGAAAUUGUCAAAUUAUAAUCGAUGGUGGUCUUUAUAAAUGUAUGUAGUGUUAUUAACAAAAAAAUGAACUUGCAUUUCUUUAGUGGUCUGUCUUUAAACUUUAUUUCUCAAGAAAAACAGUGUUUUUUUUGUUUUUUUUUACAUUCUCUAACGCAUUUCACUCAUUUGUUAGUGAUCUUAAGUAAGGAUGCCCUGUCCAAUACUCCUCAUCCUACUAGAACUGAACACACACAAUACACCGUCUGGGUGUAGAAUCCCUGCUGGAGCAAAGCAGAAAGCAGAUCGGAUUUGACAAAACUAACCGUCCGCUUGUCUUAUAAAGUCGCUGUAAGAAUGUAACAACCUUAGUAGGAGAAGAAAGUCUGGUCUGUUCUACUGUUGGGGUAUUAGCUGGUGGAUCAUGAUGAUGAUGAUUAACUCAUAGGGAUGUACAUUGUAUACAUUUUUGUUGUUGCUGUGGACACUUACUUGCAGCUGGAAAAAAAUUAACAAAUGCAAGCAUUUUACAGUACUGUUAAAUAAUGACCAAAUAAAUACAUCAAUAAAAUGGAUGAUUUAUAUUGUA